rnacentral:rRNA from 1 species
GACGAACGCUGGCGGCGUGCUUAACACAUGCAAGUCGAACGGAAAGGCCCUGCUUUUGUGGGGUGCUCGAGGGGCGAACGGGUGAGUAACACGUGAGUAACCUGCCCUUGACUGUGGGAUAACUUCAGGAAACUGGGGCUAAUACCGGAUAGGAGCUCCUGCUGCAUGGUGGGGGUGGGAAAGUUUCGGCGGUUGGGGUUGGACUCGCGGCUUAUCAGCUUGUUGGUGGGGUAGUGGCUUACCAAGGCCUGGACGCGUUGCCGGGCUGGGCGGGUAACCGGCCCAGUCGGACUUGGGAUGCGGCACGGCCCCCUCCGGGAGGGAGGGGUGGAGAGUAGAGUAUUGUGGGCGGGGGCCUGGUGCGGCAACGCCGCGUGGGGUAUGACGGCCUUCGGGUUGUGUACCGCUUCCGCUUGUGACGAGGCGUGAGUGACGGUAAUGGGUGAAGAAGCACCGGCUAACUACGUG